rnacentral:rRNA from 1 species
UACGGGGGGGUGCGAGCGUUUGUCCGGAAUCACUGGGCGUAAAGGGCGCGUAGGUGGUCUGAUAAGGGUGUGGUGAAAGCCCGGGGCUCAACCCCGGGUCGGCCGUGCCGACUGUUAGACUAGAGUGCUGUAGGGGCAGGCGGAAUUCCGGGUGUAGCGGUGGAAUGCGUAGAGAUCCGGAGGAAGACCGGUGGCGAAGGCGGCCUGCUGGGCAGAUACUGACACUGAGGCGCGACAGCGUGGGGAGCAAACAGG